rnacentral:rRNA from 1 species
GAGUUUGAUCUUGGCUCAGGACGAACGCUGGCGGCGUGCUUAACACAUGCAAGUCGAACGAGAAUCUACUGAAAGAGUUUUCGGACAAUGGAAGUAGAGGAAAGUGGCGGACGGGUGAGUAACGCGUGAGGAACCUGCCUUGAAGAGGGGGACAACAGUUGGAAACGACUGCUAAUACCGCAUGAUGCAUAAGGGUCGCAUGAUUCUUAUGCCAAAGAUUUAUCGCUUCAAGAUGGCCUCGCGUCUGAUUAGCUAGUUGGCGGGGUAACGGCCCACCAAGGCGACGAUCAGUAGCCGGACUGAGAGGUUGAACGGCCACAUUGGGACUGAGAUACGGCCCAGACUCCUACGGGAGGCAGCAGUGGGGAAUAUUGGGCAAUGGGCGCAAGCCUGACCCAGCAACGCCGCGUGAAGGAGAAGGCUUUCGGUAUGUAAACUUCUAUCAGCAGGGAAGAAAAUAGACGGUACCUGACUAAGAAGCCCGGCCAACUACGUGCCAGCCGCCGCCGUAAG